rnacentral:lncRNA from 1 species
ACUGUGAAGGUCUGCAGCUUCACUUCUGAAGUCAGCAAGACCACGAACCCACCAGAAGGAAGAAACUCCAGACAUAUAUGAACAUCUGAAGGAACAACUCCGGACACACCAUCUUUAAGAACUGUAACACUCACUGCGAGGGUCCGCAGCUUUAUUCUUGAAGUCGGCGAGACCAAGAACCCACCAGAAGGAACCAAUUCAGGACACAGAUAGGGUGCAGACCUGCAUAGUGAAACUACCCACAGCAAGGAUGUAUGCCUGUGAGUUGGCACAGAAUCGGUGGAUCAGACUUGGCCUUCAACCUCCUGUUAUCCUGAUGAA